rnacentral:rRNA from 1 species
AUUGAACGCUGGCGGCAGGCCUAAUACAUGCAAGUCGAACGAGUGGCGGACGGGUGAGUAAUGUCUGGGAACCUGCCCGAUGGAGGGGGAUAACUACUGGAAACGGUAGCUAUUACCGCAUACCAUCAGAUGUGCCCAGAUGGGAUUAGCUUGUGGUUGGGGUAACGGCUCACCAGGGCGACGAUCCCUAGCGGGUCUGAGAGGAUGACCAGCCACACUGGAACUGAGACACGGUCCAGAGUCCUACGGGAGGCAGCAGUGGGGAAUAUUGCACAAUGGACGCAGGCCUGAUGCAGCCAUGCCGCGUGUGUGAAGAAGGCCUUCGGGUUGUAAAGUACUUUCAGCGGGGAGGCGUUACCCGCAGAAAAAGCACCGGCUAACUCCGUGCCAGCAGCCGCGGUAAUUC